AACACAAAAGCACCCGAUGAAGAUUGGCUCAUUGGAUUCUCUGAGCCUCAGAAGCCACUUUCAAGAUUAUCUAGUGCCUUUCCCUUGACUUGAAGGAUGGCAUGCCUUUCAAGUACUCUGGGCAGAUGGGAAGCUCACCUGUUGGCAUAAACCCCGCAGGGCCUGCAGCCAAUUGGGCCCAUGACUCUGAGCCCCCACUCCAAUGGCAUUUGUGAGAAGAACCCCCAAGGUGUCAGACUGGGCACUCCCAAGGAGUUUCUUCACGAGUUGCUGCCCACGGGCCCAGUGACCAACUUGUUCUGACAAGGUACCAAGGCAAGCUAACGUUCCAAGCUGAUGUUUGGCCUUAACGCUUGUGUAUGAAGGAGAGCAAUUGUGACCCCUCACGUGGACCUGGGAGGCUUGAGGCAGGGUGAGGGAGGACUUCAUGACGACGUCACCGUUUGGCACACUGAGGCAGCCAUGGAGUGUUGUUUCACCUGCUUUGCAUUGGCUCAGUUACUCUAUUUGCAGAUCUCAUGUACUAGACCACCUUCAAAUGCUGUUUUAAUUUUAAAAAGUGUGUGUGCGUAGAGACAGAGAUGGAGACAGACACCUUGAUAUUCUGCCUCUAAUUUUUUGCAGUAAUGACUCUAAAUAAAUGUUC